UUGAACGCUGGCGGCAGGCCUAACACAUGCAAGUCGAGCGGUAGCACAGAGAGCUUGCUCUCGGGUGACGAGCGGCGGACGGGUGAGUAAUGUCUGGGAAACUGCCUGAUGGAGGGGGAUAACUACUGGAAACGGUAGCUAAUACCGCAUAAUGUCGCAAGACCAAAGUGGGGGACCUUCGGGCCUCAUGCCAUCAGAUGUGCCCAGAUGGGAUUAGCUAGUAGGUGGGGUAACGGCUCACCUAGGCGACGAUCCCUAGCUGGUCUGAGAGGAUGACCAGCCACACUGGAACUGAGACACGGUCCAGACUCCUACGGGAGGCAGCAGUGGGGAAUAUUGCACAAUGGGCGCAAGCCUGAUGCAGCCAUGCCGCGUGUGUGAAGAAGGCCUUCGGGUUGUAAAGCACUUUCAGCGGGGAGGAAGGCGGUGAGGUUAAUAACCUCAUCGAUUGACGUUACCCGCAGAAGAAGCACCGGCUAACUCCGUGCCAGCAGCCGCGGUAAUACGGAGGGUGCAAGCGUUAAUCGGAAUUACUGGGCGUAAAGCGCACGCAGGCGGUCUGUCAAGUCGGAUGUGAAAUCCCCGGGCUCAACCUGGGAACUGCAUUCGAAACUGGCAGGCUAGAGUCUUGUAGAGGGGGGUAGAAUUCCAGGUGUAGCGGUGAAAUGCGUAGAGAUCUGGAGGAAUACCGGUGGCGAAGGCGGCCCCCUGGACAAAGACUGACGCUCAGGUGCGAAAGCGUGGGGAGCAAACAGGAUUAGAUACCCUGGUAGUCCACGCCGUAAACGAUGUCGACUUGGAGGUUGUGCCCUUGAGGCGUGGCUUCCGGAGCUAACGCGUUAAGUCGACCGCCUGGGGAGUACGGCCGCAAGGUUAAAACUCAAAUGAAUUGACGGGGGCCCGCACAAGCGGUGGAGCAUGUGGUUUAAUUCGAUGCAACGCGAAGAACCUUACCUGGUCUUGACAUCCACAGAACUUUCCAGAGAUGGAUUGGUGCCUUCGGGAACUGUGAGACAGGUGCUGCAUGGCUGUCGUCAGCUCGUGUUGUGAAAUGUUGGGUUAAGUCCCGCAACGAGCGCAACCCUUAUCCUUUGUUGCCAGCGGUUAGGCCGGGAACUCAAAGGAGACUGCCAGUGAUAAACUGGAGGAAGGUGGGGAUGACGUCAAGUCAUCAUGGCCCUUACGACCAGGGCUACACACGUGCUACAAUGGCAUAUACAAAGAGAAGCGACCUCGCGAGAGCAAGCGGACCUCAUAAAGUAUGUCGUAGUCCGGAUUGGAGUCUGCAACUCGACUCCAUGAAGUCGGAAUCGCUAGUAAUCGUAGAUCAGAAUGCUACGGUGAAUACGUUCCCGGGCCUUGUACACACCGCCCGUCACACCAUGGGAGUGGGUUGCAAAAGAAGUAGGUAGCUUAACCUUCGGGAGGGCGCUUACCACUUUGUGAUUCAUGACUGGGGUG
rnacentral:rRNA from 1 species